AAUGUCGUUUUCUUUUUCCUUCUCUAAGAUCCUGAUAGUGUAGAGGUUACAGAUCUUUCUGAGACUAUGGAGAGGCAGUGUUGAAGCACUUGGAGAACUCUAUUGAUUUGGACCCAAAGCUUCAGAAAGCUCCAGUAAAUUAUAAAGGAGUCCGGGUAUCUGGGUUUGGAGGAUGGUUCCUUCUGAGGCUCUCGCUUUAUGAUCCUGUUCUUCCUCUUAACAUUGAGGCACCAACUCACGAUGACGCUGUAAAACUUGGACUUGCUGUGCUUGGGGCUAUUAAGGAGUUUGCAGCUUUGGAUACAUCCGCUUUAGACAAGUUUGUUCAAGUAUCAUGAGCCGAUGAUGCAGAGCGCUUUGGUACAAGUAUCUUUCGGCACAUUAGACUAGCAGUUAAAGUUGGCUUUGGUGUCUACCUCUAUACAGUACGUAUAAUCAGUGCGUCAAUCUCUGAUGCUGAGGAGGUUCAUUUUCCAGAUGGUUUUGGUCACAGGCACUCAAAAUAGUACUUGAUGGCUAUGUUUACUUUAGUUUUUACUUAUGUUCCAUGUAUGCAACAGGGAUGUUCUG